AUUGAACGCUGGCGGCAUGCCUUACACAUGCAAGUCGAGCGGCAGCGCGGGGGCAACCCUGGCGGCGAGCGGCGAACGGGUGAGUAAUACAUCGGAACGUGUCCAGUAGCGGGGGAUAACCUGUCGAAAGAUAGGCUAAUACCGCAUACGACCUACGGGUGAAAGCGGGGGACCGCAAGGCCUCGCACUAUUGGAGCGGCCGAUGUCGGAUUAGCUAGUUGGCGGGGUAAAAGCCCACCAAGGCGACGAUCCGUAGCUGGUCUGAGAGGACGAUCAGCCACACUGGAACUGAGACACGGUCCAGACUCCUACGGGAGGCAGCAGUGGGGAAUUUUGGACAAUGGGGGCAACCCUGAUCCAGCCAUGCCGCGUGAGUGAAGAAGGCCUUCGGGUUGUAAAGCUCUUUCGGUGAAGACAAAACGGUUCGUGCUAACAACGCGAACUAAUGACGGUACUCACAGAAGAAGCACCGGCUAACUACGUGCCAGCCGCCGCGGUAA
rnacentral:rRNA from 1 species